rnacentral:rRNA from 1 species
CCUACGGGGGGCUGCAGUGGGGAAUCUUGCGCAAUGCGCGAAAGCGUGACGCAGCAACGCCGCGUGGGGGAAGAAGGCCUUCGGGUUGUAAACCCCUUUCAGUUGGGACGAAGCUUCGCCGGUGAAUAGCCGGCUGGAGUGACGGUACCUUCAGAAGAAGCCCCGGCUAACUACGUGCCAGCAGCCGCGGUAAUACGUAGGGGGCAAGCGUUGUCCGGAAUCAUUGGGCGUAAAGAGCGUGUAGGCGGCUCGGUAAGUCCGCUGUGAAAGUCCAGGGCUCAACCCUGGAAAGCCGGUGGAAACUGUUGAGCUAGAGUCCGGAAGAGGCGAGUGGAAUUCCUGGUGUAGCGGUGAAAUGCGCAGAUAUCAGGAGGAACACCAAUGGCGAAGGCAGCUCGCUGGGACGGUACUGACGCUGAGACGCGAAAGCGUGGGGAGCA